UACGUAGGCAGCAAGCGUUGUUCGGAGUUACUGGGCGUAAAGGGUGUGUAGGCGGUUCACUAAGUUCGGUGUGAAAUCUCCCGGCUUAACUGGGAGGGUGCAUUGAAAACUGGUGGGCUUGAGUAUGGGAGAGGUAAGCGGAAUUCCUGGUGUAGCGGUGAAAUGCGUAGAUAUCAGGAGGAACACCUGUGGUGUAGACAGCUUACUGGACCAUCACUGACGCUGAAACACGAAAGCGUGGGUGGCAAACAGG
rnacentral:rRNA from 1 species